GACGAACGCUGGCGGCGUGCUUAACACAUGCAAGUCGAACGGAAAGGCCCUGCUUGCUGGGUACUCGAGUGGCGAACGGGUGAGUAACACGUGGGUGAUCUGCCCUUCACUUCGGGAUAAGCUUGGGAAACUGGGUCUAAUACCGGAUAGGAGCCAUCUUUAGUGUGGGGGUUGGAGAGUUUUUUAGGGGUAGGAUGGGAUCGCGGCCUAUCUGCUUGUUGGUGGGGUGAUGGCCUACCAAGGCGGAGACGGGUAGCCGGCCUGAGAGGGUGUACGGCCACAUUGGGACUGAGAAACGGCCCAGACUCCUACGGGAGGCAGCAGUGGGGAAUAUUGCACAAUGGGCGGAAGCCUGAUGCAGCGACGCCGCGUGGGGGAUGAAGGCCUUCGGGUUGUAAACUCCUUUCGCUAGGGACGAAGCUUUUUGUGACGGUACCUAGAUAAGAAGCACCGGCUAACUACGUG
rnacentral:rRNA from 1 species